rnacentral:rRNA from 1 species
UACAGAGGGGGCAAGCGUUGUUCGGAAUUACUGGGCGUAAAGGGCGCGUAGGCGGCCUGCUAAGUCGAACGUGAAAUCCCUGGGCUCAACCCAGGAGCUGCGUCCGAUACUGGUUGGCUUGAAUCCGGGAGAGGGACGUGGAAUUCCAGGUGUAGCGGUGAAAUGCGUAGAUAUCUGGAGGAACACCGGUGGCGAAGGCGACGUCCUGGACCGGCAUUGACGCUGAGGCGCGAAAGCCAGGGGAGCAAACGGG